rnacentral:rRNA from 1 species
CCUACGGGGGGCAGCAGUGAGGAAUAUUGGUCAAUGGGCGCUAGCCUGAACCAGCCAAGUAGCGUGAAGGAUGACUGCCCUAUGGGUUGUAAACUUCUUUUAUAUGGGAAUAAAGUGCGGUACGUAUUCUUCUUUGCAUGUACCUUAUGAAUAAGGAUCGGCUAACUCCGUGCCAGCAGCCGCGGUAAUAAGGAGGAUCCGAGCGUUAUCCGGAUUUAUUGGGUUUAAAGGGAGCGUAGGUGGGUUAUUAAGUCAGUUGUGAAAGUUUGCGGCUCAACCGUAAAAUUGCAGUUGAUACUGGUAGACUUGAGUACAGUAGAGGUAGGCGGAAUUCGUGGUGUAGCGGUGAAAUGCUUAGAUAGCACGAAGAACUCCGAUUGCGAAGGCAGCUUGCUGGACUGUAACUGACGCUGAUGCACGAAAGUGUGGGGAUCAAACAGGAUUAGAUACCCGAGUAGUC